AUGAACAUGAGGAUCCCUGCUAAGCUCCUGGGGUUCCUGCUGCUCUGUCUCCCAGAUGCCAGAUGUGACAUCCAGAUGACCCAGCCUCCAUCCUCCCUGUCUGCAUCUGUAGGAGACAGAGUCACCGUCUCUUGCCAGGCUAGUCAAAGCAUUUACAACUAUUUAAAUUGGUAUCAGCAGAAACCAGGGAAAGCACCUAAGUUCCUGACCUAUAGGGCAUCCAGUUUGCAGAGGGCGAUGCCAUCUCAGUUCAGUGGCAGCGGAUAUGGAAGAGAUUUCACUCUCACCAUCAGCAGCCUGCAGCCUGAAGAUUUUGCAACUUAUUACUGUCAACAAGAGAGCAUUUUCCCUCUCCCAGUGCGACAAGUCAUAACAUCAACCGCUAGGAUAGCAGAUGAGUGA